rnacentral:rRNA from 1 species
CUACGGGUCGCUGCAGUGAGGAAUAUUGCACAAUGGGGGGAACCCUGAUGCAGCAACGCCGCGUGGAGGAUGACGCAUUUCGGUGUGUAAACUCCUUUUAUAUGUCAAGAAAAUGACGGUAGCAUAUGAAUAAGCGCCGGCUAACUCCGUGCCAGCAGCCGCGGUAAUACGGAGGGCGCAAGCGUUACUCGGAAUCACUGGGCGUAAAGGACGCGUAGGCGGGUUGAAAAGUCAGGUGUGAAAGCCUACAGCUUAACUGUAGAACUGCACUUGAAACUCUCAACCUAGAGUAUGGGAGGGGCAGAUGGAAUUAGUGGUGUAGGGGUAAAAUCCGUAGAUAUCACUAGGAAUACCUAAAGCGAAGGCGAUCUGCUGGAACAUUACUGACGCUAAGGCGUGAAAGCGUGGGGAGCAAACAGGAUUAGAUACCCCAGUAGUC